AACAGGCAUCCUAGUAGCGGCGAGCGAAGCGGGAAGAGCUCAAAUUUAUAAUCUGGCACCUUCGGUGUCCGAGUUGUAAUCUCUAGAAAUGUUUUCCGCGUUGGACCGCACACAAGUCUGUUGGAAUACAGCGGCAUAGUGGUGAGACCCCCGUAUAUGGUGCGGACGCCCAGCGCUUUGUGAUACAUUUUCGAAGAGUCGAGUUGUUUGGGAAUGCAGCUCAAAUUGGGUGGUAAAUUCCAUCUAAAGCUAAAUAUUGGCGAGAGACCGAUAGCGAACAAGUACCGUGAGGGAAAGAUGAAAAGCACUUUGGAAAGAGAGUUAACAGUACGUGAAAUUGUUGGAAGGGAAACGCUUGAAGUCAGACUUGCUUGCCGAGCAAUCGGUUUGCAGGCCAGCAUCAGUUUUCCGGGAUGGAUAAUGGUAGAGAGAAGGUAGCAGUUUCGGCUGUGUUAUAGCUCUCUGCUGGAUACAUCUUGGGGGACUGAGGAACGCAGUGUGCCUUUGGCGGGGGUUUCGACCUCUUCACACUUAGGAUGCUGGUGGAAUGGCUUUAAACGACCCGUCUUGAACC
rnacentral:rRNA from 1 species